rnacentral:rRNA from 1 species
AACGAACGCUGGCGGCAUGCCUAACACAUGCAAGUCGAACGGCAGCACGGGAGCUUGCUCCUGGUGGCGAGUGGCGAACGGGUGAGUAAUAUAUCGGAACGUACCCUAGAGUGGGGGAUAACGCAGCGAAAGUUGCGCUAAUACCGCAUACGAUCUACGGAUGAAAGUGGGGGAUCGCAAGACCUCAUGCUCAUGGAGCGGCCGAUAUCUGAUUAGCUAGUUGGUGGGGUAAAGGCCUACCAAGGCAUCGAUCAGUAGCUGGUCUGAGAGGACGACCAGCCACACUGGAACUGAGACACGGUCCAGACUCCUACGGAGGCAGCAGUGGGGAAUUUUGGACAAUGGGCGAAAGCCUGAUCCAGCAAUGCCGCGUGAGUGAAGAAGGCCUU